rnacentral:rRNA from 1 species
GACGAAGGGGGCUAGCGUUGUUCGGAAUUACUGGGCGUAAAGCGCGUGUAGGCGGUUGUCCAAGUCGGGUGUGAAAGCCUUGAGCUCAACUCAAGAAAUGCACUCGAUACUGGGCGACUCGAGUGCCGGAGAGGAUAGUGGAAUUCCCAGUGUAGUGGUGAAAUACGUAGAGAUUGGGAAGAACACCAGUGGCGAAGGCGGCUAUCUGGACGGUUACUGACGCUAAGACGCGAAAGUGUGGGGAGCAAACAGG